rnacentral:rRNA from 1 species
CCUACGGUGUGCUGCAGUCGAGAAUCAUUCACAAUGGGGGAAACCCUGAUGGUGCGACGCCGCGUGGGGGAAUGAAGGUCUUCGGAUUGUAAACCCCUGUCAUGUGGGAGCAAAUUAAAAAGAUAGUACCACAAGAGGAAGAGACGGCUAACUCUGUGCCGGCAGCCGCGGUAAUACAGAGGUCUCAAGCGUUGUUCGGAAUCACUGGGCGUAAAGCAGGCGUAGGCUGUUGGGGAAGUCGUGGGCGAAAGUCGCGGGCUCAACCCGAGGACGGCACAUGAUACUGCGAGACUAGAGUAAAGGAGGGGGAGGCGGAAUUCUCGGUGUAGCAGUGAAAUGCGUAGAUAUCGGGAGGAACACUGGUGGCGAAGGCGGGUUCCUGGACAUUAACUGACGCUGAGGCACGAAGGCCAGGGGAGCGAAAGGGAUUAGAUACCCGUGUAGUC